rnacentral:rRNA from 1 species
UUGGAGGGCAAGUCUGGUGCCAGCAGCCGCGGUAAUUCCAGCUCCAAUAGCGUAUAUUAAAGUUGUUGCAGUUAAAAAGCUCGUAGUUGAAUUUCGGGGUCAAUAAGUUGGUCGUGCCAAUGGUAUGCACUGGCUUUAUUGAUUCCUACCUCUUGACGAACUGUGAUGCCAUUAAUUUGGUGUUGCAGGAAAUCAGGACUGUUACCUUGAAAAAAUUAGAGUGUUUAAAGCAGGCUUACGCUUGAAUACAUUAGCAUGGAAUAAUGAAAUAGGACGUUUGAACCUAUUUUGUUGGUUUCUAGGAUCGACGUAAUGAUUAAUAGGGAUAGUUGGGGCCAUUAGUAUUCAAUUGUCAGAGGUGAAAUUCUUGGAUUUAUUGAAGACUAACUACUGCGAAAGCAUUUGCCAAGGAUGUUUUCAUUAAUCAAGAACGAAAGUUAGGGGAUCGAAGACGGUCAGAUACCGUCGUAGUCUUAACCAUAAACUAUGCCGACUAGGGAUCGGAUGAUGUUAAUUUUUUAAUGACUCAUUCGGCGCCUUACGGGAAAC